rnacentral:misc_RNA from 1 species
GUGCUGAAGUGAGUCACUACUUUGGCUGUGAGGAUCACAACCUGAGUGAUGCUAAUGGUGACAUAAGAGAAAAGUGUGAAAUUUAUCAACCCACAAAAAUUGAAAAUCACUUGGACCUCUUGGAAGGGUGCAAAGAUAGGAACAUCAAAUGGGGAGGGGUCAAAUCCCGCUCAACCAAGCGCUCUAGGAUGGGAGAAUUGUUUCCAUCAGGCUCUGAGACAGGACCUAGCUCAUUU